rnacentral:RNase_P_RNA from 1 species
GGAGCAGCACAGACGAUCGCUGGAUAUUUCUAUGAUUCAGAGGAAAGUCCGAACACCGCAGGGCAGGGUGCUCCAUAACGUGGAGUCGCGGUAACGCGAAGGAAAGUGCAACAGAGAGCAGACCGCCCCGCGAGCAUGCGGGGUAAGGGUGAAACGGUGCGGUAAGAGCGCACCAGUUCUCCGGGUGACCGGAGAAGCUAGGCAAACCCCACCCGGUGCAAGACCAAAUAGGGGGGCGCUGGAGGGCGGCCCGCCCGAGCCCCCGGGUAGGUCGCAAG